rnacentral:rRNA from 1 species
UACGUAGGGUGCGAGCGUUGUCCGGAAUUAUUGGGCGUAAAGGGCUCGUAGGCGGUUUGUCGCGUCGGGAGUGAAAUCCACUGGCUUAACUGGUGGCUUGCUUUCGAUACGGGCAGACUGGAGGUAUGCAGGGGAGAACGGAAUUCCUGGUGUAGCGGUGAAAUGCGCAGAUAUCAGGAGGAACACCGGUGGCGAAGGCGGUUCUCUGGGCAUGUCCUGACGCUGAGGAGCGAAAAGUGUGGGGAGCGAACAGG